ACAAUGGCGGUUCAGUGGUAGAAUUCUUGCCUUCCAUGCAAGAGACCUGGGUUUGGUUCCCUGCCAAUGCA
rnacentral:tRNA from 1 species